UACGGGGGGAGCAAGCGUUGUUCGGAUUUACUGGGCGUAAAGGGCGCGUAGGCGGCCACCGCAAGUCGGUUGUGAAAGUCAAAGGCUCAACCUUUGAAAGCCGGUGGAUACUGUGAGGCUAGAGUACGGAAGAGGCGAGUGGAAUUCCUGGUGUAGCGGUGGAAUGCGCAGAUAUCAGGAGGAACACCAAUAGCGAAGGCAGCUCGCUGGGACGUUACUGACACUGAGGCGCGAAAGCGUGGGGAGCGAACAGG
rnacentral:rRNA from 1 species